ensembl:snoRNA small nucleolar RNA R38
UCAAGCCAAUGAUGAAACAAGUUAUCCCUGUCUGAAACUUAGUGUUGAGUCAAUGGUAACCUGAGGCUUGA